GCCUCUGUAGCUCAGUUGAUUAGAGCGCUGCAGUGCCGGAAUCGCAGGGCCGUAGGUUCAAUUCCUACCAGAGGAC
rnacentral:tRNA from 1 species